UGAAUUCAUCUUGUGUGCCAUUUAAAUUAGCGUAUUCAAAAUUGUGCCAAUAUUAGAUUACCAUGCUCUCUUCUGCUCGCUUGAUUUUGGCACUUUUGCCUCUCCAUUUGGUAGACUAAAUUUCUCACCGGAAAUAUAGAUGUUUAUUUAUCGUGCAUUUUUUUCUGUGUUGCUUGAUUCCUUAUAAGUAAAAUUACUGGUUCUGUUUAGAUGUAAGAAUAAUAAUGUCUUUAGGGUAAAGACUGAAUUCAGGGUGAGGGCUUUCUCAAUAUGAGAUCAUUCUCCUAUUUUUUUAAAAUUUUAUUUCCUAUCUUAUUUUUUUUAUCAGGCAAGCAUCAAGGAUAGAAGAAAACAAUGAAGGUAUUUCUGGGACAUUGUUGCAGAUUCAAGGAGUGGAGUUAUGAAAGAGUACAAGGAAACCCUAUAAUGAAGUUAGGGAAGGUUUGCAAGAAUUUGCCCCUGCAUGGUAAUAUUGACAUUGAAUUAUGUUUUGCACUUGAUCAAGCAAGAGACACAAGAGAUGUUGCUCCAGGAUUCAUCAAAGGUGAGCAAUUCGUGUGGCUUUAUUAUCUGACAUGAUUGCUCCAGAAUCAUUUUAAUUAGGGACUGUGGAGGCGCGGAGGAGAUAGUUGGGAUCAAAUUGCUCCGCGGACAUGUGGAAGGGUCUCGCUAGCGACAUACAUGUGCGGCGAGCGAAAUUAAGGUCCAAGGCAGCCCGCCUGCCCAUGGUCAUGCUAGCGAGAGAGAUCUAAAUUGUGGCCAAACUGCAUUCCACUCUCUAUUAAAAGGCCCUGAGGAAGUGGGUGCUUUCUGCUUACCGAUGAAUCUCAAGGCAUGGUAAUAAUGUUUGCCUCUUAAGGUAUGCGUCCAACUUAUUCUCACUCAGCUUGCUAUCUUGUCCCUGAAAUCUAUUAACUGAAUCAAUCUGGUGUUCAUAUUUUUUAUUGGAAUCAAAUUAAGUGAGUUGGCCUCAUGUGUAUCCCAUUUGAAUGCAAUUUAUCUUCCUUGCCACUUUAGAGGGAGAAACCACAUGCAACAAGGAAAUAAUAGAUCCUGAUGAAGCACUAAUUGGUUGGGCAAGAAUGACAUAUACUGAAAACAAACAAUUCAUAGGUCAAAAUGACGUGUCAAUCGUCAUGAGAUUUCUGGUACAUGUAUCCUCCUAAAGAAAUCAGGAUCAUGACCAUUUGUAUGAAUUCUACUAAUUGAUACAAAUUGCAAAAUCCUAAUAUUUGUAGUGGCUCAUUUCCUGCUCCUACAUUCAAGGCUGUUGUCUUUCCUUUUUUUUUCUUGACAAAAACUCUCCUUUAAGGACAGGAAGCCUGCAGUAAGGUUUUCCAAUUUUCUUUUCAUGAGGCAUUUGUUGCUGCUGACCUUCUCACUAAAGUGGUCAAAAGAAUUAUGGCUAGCUAGGUACAAACACAACAAUUAAAGUAAUGUUGUUAAGAGCUGAGUGAUAUGAGGAUUAAGCAUCAUCAGUCACAUGACCUCUAUUUGGAACUGAAUGAUUGACCAUCAGUUCUAAAGAUUAUUGUUGCAGGUGUGCAUUGCUUACUGAUUGUUAUGUUUCCAGAAAUCAAAAUUAGUUAUGACUGAAUUCCUAGCUUCAUGAUGCAUCCUUUCCGAGCUUUGGUAGAUUUUUAUGCCAUAAACUCUUGCACAAUGGUUCACACAUUAGGAACUGAGCAGCUGCUGAUCUACAUUCCAUUCAUCAAGAAGCUCUUGCAAGGGAAGAUUUUCACCCCCCAUUUGAUCAAUUCAGUGCAAACUAUUAUUUGAAAAAUCAUAUUUGCAGAACAUGCUAACUAUUUGAAGGUCAUUGUUCACAUCCUAAUGAACCAGACCACCUGUGCAACUUGGAGUUGUUUCAACUUGGAGUUGCAGACUUGCAGUCAUUAAAAGUGAAGGAGAAGCAUAUGAUAAUUCUGAACUUUCCACCUGUGCUCCUAACAUUAAUUUGAAACCUCACUUCUACGAUGACAUUGUGUGUCUGGUUAACAGCCUAAUGUAUGUCGAGAACCUGUUGUUGUCCAAGUAUUUAAGUUCAUUUUCUUUGAUUUAUAUUGACAACUCAAAAUAUAUUGUACGCAUAACUUCUUUUACAUUCUGAUUGGUCUGUAAUUUCUUUUCAUGUGGGACCCUCAUAUGUCAGUAUCAAAAUUAAUGUGUAUUUAACAGUUGAGAGGUGGCAGGUGUCUCAUGCCAUUGAGGAAGAGGAGGGUAUGAUGGAGGAUGUCGUUGGAGACAGCAAGGAUGAAGUCUCGGUGGCGAGACAGGAUUAGUUUGUUUGUUUUUUACUUGCAGAAUAGAAGUUUGUUUGUUUUUUCUUUAUUGCAGUAUACUAACACCCUUGCAGAGUUGCAGGUGCUUUGCAGUUGCAGGUUAGUAUGUGGUACAAAGCACUGCUGGUUACUACUAACCUUGUGAGGCUUGUCACCUAUCAGGUUGCAAUCUUCAUAAACAUUGUUGGCUGAAAUUCCCUUCUACUGUUUGUCGAAAUGGCUCUUAGGAGAUGUAUGCUUCAUUCUUCUUAUAAUUAUAAGAAUGUUGCAUUACCUAAUCAUUCAAGUAUGAGUUGCUGCAUAUCCUAAUCAUUCAAGUAUGAGAUGCUGCUGAUUGGAGGUGGAAAUAAGAACGAGCUGCAGGAUGCUGUGAGGAUGCGUGAGAUGUUACUGCUGCUGCUUGCCUGCAUCAAUCGGAGAGCAGGAGGAGAAAUGGAGGAAGAUACCACCGCUGUAUUUCAUUUGCUUACAUGAUGUUACUUACAAAGCUGCAGGGCGUUGCUUAAUUUCAUCAUCUAACAUUUAUUCAAUUCAUUGUGAAUCUUGUGUCUAACAAAGUUCAGACUAUAUGUUAGGAAAAAUUAUUACUCUUAUCUCCUUUUUGCUUAUGUUGGAAUGGUAUCUUUUAAAUAAUUAUUGCGCCAUUGCUCCA